rnacentral:rRNA from 1 species
UUAGAUGCACCAUCCAUCUCUGUUGUGUGUACCAAUGCUAAUAUCUGAUUCUUAUGCUAAGUAGGUACCAAUGCUACUUAUGACAUUUUGAUUUACAAAUCAAUCUUGAUGCAGGAGGAUCCAAGUCAUAUGAUGUUGAAUUGUCAGGUAGCAUGUUGUUGGCGCUGAGAUACCAUGAGUUGGCAAAUUAGCGCAAAGAUAGAAGAAAAUCGUGAUAUUUUUCUUAAUUGCGGCAGUUUUGGGUGCAUUUCGGUAUUUUGGCCAUAACUUUGGCUACGGGUAUCAGAAUCACGCAUAUGACCUCAAUUUGAAAAACGUUUUUUGGCACGCACAUCGUAGCCAAAGAACUAUGCUCGUUGCAUAUCUUUUCGAGGCCAAAAUCCAUUCUUUCCCCUUCUGAAUCCACAAUUUUAGUAAUUUUUUUUUUCCUUUAUGGUAAUAUUUCAUUAAUCGUUUAGGAACUGAUUUUGAACCCGAUUUGGGUCAAAUUUUUUUCAGAAUAUUUUUUUUAUUAAUUAUUUUGUUUUAGCACAAUUAUUGAGAUUUUGUUGUUUUUGUUAAAAUUCUAAUAAUAACGAAUUUUAGCUAUAAAGCCUGGUUUGUGGGCUGAUUUUAGAGAUACUUUUGAUUUGAAUAAUUUUAAUUGAAUAUUAGAGUUGUUUCUCUGUGCUUUUUGGGAGAAUAUUUUGUGUUAUUUUUCCUGUGAAUUAUCUGUUAAACUAGCCUGCAGAAUAAUCACUAUUCUGCCCGGCAAAUUUGUAUUGAUCAUAACUUUUGACAUUUAUGUUAACAUGUUAUUCAUAUUUCAAUUAUAUGUAAAAGGUGAUGCUUAGGUAUUCCUUUUGUUAACAUGUUAUUCAUAUUUCAAUUAACAUGUUUUCCGGUGCGCCCUUGAUGGCCCUUGAAAAUCUGGAGGACUGAGUGUCAAUCGCUCCCAAUCGUACUCAUAACCACAUCAAGUCUCCAAGGCGAACAACGUCUGGUCGAUGGAACAAUGUAGGAAAGGGAAGUUGGCAAAAUGGAUCUGGAACAUCGAGAAAAGGAUUGGCUCUGAGGACUGGACUCGCGGGUCCCUAUCCCAAACCAAUCGGUUGUCAAUGGAUAGCUCAGGUUGCUUAUGCAUUGAGAGCAGGUCACUGUGUGCCGACUAGGGGAUGGACUAGGAAUGGUCCCUUCCGAGUCCUUUCUUGGGCGUCGAACAAUUGACUCAGAACUAGUACGAACAAGAGGAAUCCUAUUAUUUAAUUGAAACAAAGCAUUGCGAUGGUCCUUACGGAUGUUAACGCAAUGUGAUUUCUGCCCAGUGCUCUGAAUGUCAAAGUGAAGAAAUUCCAUCAAGCACUGGUAAACGGCGGGAGUAACUUUGACUCUCUUAAGGUAGCCAAAUGUCUCGUCAUCUAAUUAGUGAUGCACAUGAAGGGAUUAACAAGAUUCCCACUAUCCUUAUUUACUAUCCAGCGAAACCACAACCAAGGGAGCGAGCUUGGCAGAGUCAACGGGAAUGAAGACCUUGUUGAGCUUGAUUCCAGUUAGACUUUCUAAAAUGACUUGAGAGGUGUAGGAUGAGCCGGAGGCGUUUGCGUCGAAAGUGAAAUACCAUUACUUUUAACGUUAUUUUACUUAUUCAAGAAUCGGAAGCGGGGCACUGCCUCUCUUUUUGGAUCCAAGGGUCAUUUUGGCGACCCGAUCCUGGCUAAAGACAUUGUCAGGUGGGGAGUUUGGCUGGGCAGCACAUCUGUUAAAAUAUAAUGAAGGUGUUCUAAGAUGAGCUCAACGAGAACAAAAUUGUCAGGUGGAACAGAAGGGUAAAAACUCGUUUGAUUAUGAUUUCUAGUACGAAUACGAACAGUGAAAGUGUGGCCUACCGAUUUUUUAGACCUUCAAAAUUUGAAGCUAGACGUGUCAGAAAAGUUACCACAAGGAUGAUUGGCUUGUGGCAGCAAAACAUUCAUAGCGACGUUGCUUUUUUAUAAUUCGAUGUCGGCUCACCCUAUCAUUGUGAAGCAAAAUUCAACAAGUGUUGUAUUGUUCACCCACCAAUUGGGAAUGUGAGCUGGGUUUAGAUUGUCGUGAGAAGGGUUAGUUUUACCCUACUGAUGAUAGUGCUGCGAUAGUAAUUCAACCUGGUACGAAAGGAACCGUUGAUUCACACAAUUGGUCAUCGCGCAUAUGACCCCAAUUCAGAAAGCUCUUUUCGGCACACGUCGUAACCAACAUCUUUUCGAGGCAAAAAUCCAUUGUUUCCCCUUCCGAAUCUACAAUUUUAGUAAUGUUUUUCCUUUUAUGGUAAUAUUUCAUUCUUCGUUUAGGAAGUGUUUCUGAACCCAAUUUUGGCCAGAUUUUUGGAAAAUUGUUUAUUUUAUUACGUAUUUUGUUUUAACAUGAUUAUUGGGAUUUUCUAUUUUUGUUAAAAUUCUAAUAAUCACGAGUUUUAGCUAUAAAGCCCGAC